GAUGAAGAACGCAUCGAAAUGCGAUAAGUAAUGUGAAUUGCAGAAUUCAGUGAAUCAUCGAAUCUUUGAACGCACAUUGCGCCCAUUAGUAUUCUAGUGGGCAUGCCUGUUCGAGCGUCAUUAAUUCCACUUAAGCCCUGCUUAGUGUUGGGAAUCUACUCUAGUGGUGCUACCCUGGAGCUACCCCUGAAAGGGGGCUGGCCCGGUAGCUACCCUGUAGUUCCUCAAAGAUAGUGCGCGGAGUUGCGUGGUCCUCUGAGCUUAGUAACUAUACACCUAGCUUUUGAGUGUCCCGCGGCGCCUGCCGUUUAAACCCCAUCUUUUAAUGGUUGACCUCGGAUCAGGUAGGAAUACCCGCUGAACUUAAGCAUAUCAAUAAGCGGAGGA
rnacentral:misc_RNA from 1 species